CUCGCGUGCUGGCAUGGGGAGGGCGCGGCGAGCAGAACGGUCGGACCUGGCAAACCUGGUCGGAGCACGGAGGGAACCAGGGGGAUGGAGGAGCUGGACGUGAGGGCGACGGCAUGUCUGACGUUGGGGCUGGGGCGAGCUCACCAAGGAAGCAGGGGCACAACCAUGGUAGGGUUGCUGCAGAGAGGAAGAUGGAGGGAGGGGCAUCGGCUGGACACAACAACAGGAAGGGGAGCUGGUUGGACCCGAGCAGGGCGACGUCGGCAAUGGAGGUUUGGGCAUUCGAGACGCUCGGCAUGGGAGAAGCCAGGAAUGGCGCUUGAGGAAGAGAGAUGCUGGUGAAGGGAUCUCACGUGUGGGGGAGGAAAAC
rnacentral:lncRNA from 7 species